GGAUGUAGUUCAGUGGUAGAGCACUUGUCUACCAUGCAAGAGGCCCUGGGUUCAAUCCCCAGUGCUUCCA
rnacentral:tRNA from 1 species